rnacentral:lncRNA from 1 species
UUAUCUUUCUAGAAGCACAGUCGUAUAUUUUAAGCACAAUGACAUGGAUUCUUUAAGUAAAACUUUAGAGAACAUUACUUCCAAAUAUAAGGGGACAAAAAAUUUGAGGCGUUAUAUUGUCGUUGAAGCUCUCUACCAGGUAUAUCUCGUUUUUCAUUUAUGUUUUUUGUUAGCUUUACAUAUCUAUACCAUGUUUCCAAUGAACGCUUAUAACCUUUAGGUUUAAAAGCAAUCAGCUUUACUAAUUGCUUGCUUCUUCUUGCAACUUGCAGUAUCGGUAAAUUGUGCUAUAUGAACUACUAUUUCUGUUAAGAUAGUACAGUAUUUAACAAAUGAAAUUUGAAUAGGUAUAUAUAUGUGGAUUAAAAUAAAACUUUGAGCCUGUUGGUGUCUACUACAGUGUUGUUCCUUAAAAGACUAUUGUUACUUACCCUGGUUUUCUCAACCACUGAGUUGUAAUAGUUAUUUUUUCUGUUGACAUACUAACACCUUUUAUGAUCAUAUGCCUUACUUGCAAGCAAACAAAAAUUGCUUGUCAGUAACUAUUGACAUAUGUUUCCUUGAAUUUUUUCAGAAGCACCAGAGAUUUUAAAUAGCAAAAAAAACCAAUCAUAUACAUUAAGAAUAUUCGUUAACCUUUAACUUUUUAUAUGUAGAAAAAAAGGUAAAUUCUUUGAUAGACCCAUGAGUUUUGGUGUGGAUACCAUUAGAAACACAUCAAUUUAAAUAUUUAAUUAUUUUUUAAAAAACCUAUAUUAAAAGGUUGAAACAAAAUUAAAAGGUACCGGAGUAUUCACCAUAAAAUGCAUUGUUCAACUAUAAAAAUCCUCUUUGUUAACUUCCUUUGAAACUUGUUUCAUGAGAGCGUUAAUUGAGCGGUAUUUGUUCAUGAGGACAUUAAUUGAAUCAACAACCUAGCCUUAUCUCAUAAAGUAGGUAAGCUAAAAGUAUUAGACACGCCAUAAUCGUUCUAUCAUAUACAUGAUUGAUCCAAUCAAUAGUUCUCCUAUUGUUUUUCUUAAGUCUUCCUAUGCCUCGGUGAUUUUGACUAUGCUCAUCAGUUUUAGGCUUCCUUACUCAAAAAUCUUCAUGUCUUCUCCUACUUAUCAAAUCACCAAGUCUGUUUCCAUCAAUAUUUUCCUGAUAGGUGUUAUCUCAUUCUCUCUCUAAUGUUAUCAUUUAUAAUUCUAUCAUGUUAGUCUUACCACAUAUCCAACUCAACAUCUUUAUCUAUGCUACGCUUAAUUGAAUAAUGCAUUAAGUAUAGUACACUAAAUUAUAAGUUGCUUAUAUUAUGAACCACCAAAGGACUUAUCUUAUUAUUGUUGAGUCUAGAGAAUAAAUUCUUAGUUUCCACAUUUAGAACAUUUCCUCUUUAUGUUUCAGCAUACAUGGAAAUCCAAGAUGGUUAUAAUUAAGUAUCAUAGAUAACUAUACCAUACUUGAUGAUCAAUAACUCUUGCACUUCCGGCAGAAUCCUCCUUCUGUGGCCAAUGCAUGUCCCAUAGCAGCAGUUAUAAGCUAAUUUCUCAACCUGGCAGCACACAACCAAAAAUCAUAAAAUAGCAUUACGGUUUUGAUAUUAUCCACGGCAAACAGAAUUUUCAGUACAUACUGUACUCCAUAGUGUUCGGUGAGACCUCUUCCAGAACUUCCAAGUACACCAAACGAGUUGCUACAUCCAUAAAAUACGAAAACGAUAUUUUCCUUCAAUUUAAUGAACUCAUCUAGGGUGCUAUUUGGCCAGAAUCUGACNAAACAGACUUGGUGAUUUUGAUAAGUAGAGAGAAGACCUGAAGAUUUUGUAGUAAGGAAGCUAAAACUGAUGAGCAAUAGUCAGAAAUCACCAGAGGCAUAGGAAGACUUAGAAAAACGAUAAGAGAAACUAUUGAGUUGGAUAAAAACAUGAUAUAUGAUAGAACAUUAUGGCGUUGUCUAAUACUUUUAGCUUACCCUACUUUAUGAGAUAAGGCUAGGUUGUUGAUUCAAUUAAUGUUUCAACAAUGACAGCGGUUGAGUAGUUCUGGCUAUGUCUUUUCUGCUUCUUUGCCUCCAUAUCUUGCAAGUGCUGCAAUUACAGCUAUUGAUGUCCUUGAUGAAAAUCCCAAUCUGUUAACAAAAUUGAAGAACAACAUUGCUGUGUUAUGGAAAGGUAGGCUUUGAUCUCACUGCUAUUUUCGUGAACGGAACUGUAUUGCAGUAGUGUCCAUGAGUUCGCUUGUGCACAACAGUCUGAAUUACUGUUUAUUUAUUGGCUACUGCAGGGCUGUCGAGAAUACCAAGCUUCACAAUCGCAAGUCAUCCAGAGUCACCAAUUGUUUAUUUGAGAUUAAAGCAGUCAACAGGUUCUUUGAAAGAUGACCUACAACUGCUUGAAAAUAUUGCCGAGCGAGUAAGAAAUGCAGUUCUUUUUUGAUUGAACAAUGUUCAUUAUUUUCAAUUUUGUUGGUACUUAAUAUCGCGUAUUCACAGGCUUUGAAAGAAGAUUCUGUAUUUGUGGCGGCUUCAAGAAGAUCAACAUUGGACAAGUGUAAAUUGCCUGUAGGAAUUAGAUUGUUUGUUUCUGCAGGGCAUGAAGAGUCUGAUCUUCACAAAGCAUCUGAAUCAUUGGAAAGGGUUGCCGCAAUAGUCCUUGGCGGUCGUAAUUGAAAGUUGUACUGUACACCUCUCUUUCUUUUCAUGUUCCAAAAUGUCAGUUCUAUUCAACUCUUAGCCGAGAAAUUUUGAAAUCCAGGCAGAUAAAUGAAGUUCUGUAGUUGGUAAUUUAUGUAAUAUUUUCCGGGCUAGCUUAGGGUAACAAUUUUUUUGGGAGUACUAUUCUUUGAUAUGUGUUGAGGGGUGGAAUAAGGAUUUAAGUUUCUAAUCAUCAUUUGGGAAAUGCUUAUAAAUUACAUUAGGCUUAAUUUUUUUUUUGCGUUGACUCCUUGUAUAUCAAUUUCAAUGUUACAUUAUUAUUUCACUAGUUAAUUGUUCAUCAAGAUUGCUGAAGGUUUAAACCAUUGUGUGUAAACAUAGUCAACUUUCUCUUAUUUUUAUUUAAUUGUAUUUUUGGUCUCCUAUUUUAUCACACUGACAAAAAGGAUCUCCUCGUUAGAAUUGAAUAUUUUGAUUCCGCGGUUAUCACAUUUGUUGCAAUUUUGGUCCAACCUAUAUUUUUAACCCCUAAAAUGGUGUAUUUUGAUGCAAAACUUGUGGUUUAGUGUCUCAAUCAAUUGUAAAUAUGAAGGGAAGAGGAUGCCUCUUUUAGUGCUUAAUAAAAUUAACAUUUUUAUGCUUAAAAAAUACUAUUUAUGGAGGGAAGUUAUGGGUUAGGACCAAAAUUGCACUAAAUGUGAUAAUUGAGACAAAAAGUUCGAUUACAAAAUAGGGAGACUAUUUUCUUGUGUAUGAUGAAGUAGGGUUUGGUUGAACAUGUAUCUUUGAUUUAGUUUUUGGAAGAGGCAGAAAUAAUUUUAGUAGAUAAUUGAUUUUUGAAUGAUUUUGUGAUGUCUUUUAUAGUUGAAUUGAUUUUGAUCCCAAAAUUGAUUUUAUUUAAAGUUAUAAUUUGUAGCUUUUUAAGCUUAAAUAUGAUUUUUACAAUGAAAAAUCAUUGUUUAACUAAUUUUUAUAUAAAUGUAUUCAAAUAUAAAUUAUUUAGAUCUAACUCACUUUUAAUCAAAAUCAAUUCCCGUUACAGCAAAACAAACACACUAAACUUAAAUCAAAAAUCACACUAUAGCAAAUUUUCUGAAUGACAAAAUCAUGCGAAAUAACACAUUCUGAAUGACAGCAAAAAUGACAAAUUAUGGCCAUUGACAAUGACAUGCCCAUAACGAGUAGAGAGAGUGAGAGCAAGAGAAAGCAAGAACAAAUGUGAGAAUGACAGGGAAAAGAUUAACUAAAUACAUUAAGUUAAUUUGGAAACUGAACAUAUCUUUUUUCACAAUAACUUAACAUGUUAAAUAAUUUCAAUGAGAGCAUUAGGUUGUUUCAAAAUUUUGGCUUAGUAUCAGGCCUUAUUUUUCUUUUCUAUAUCACUUAACUGAUGAGGAUUCACUUGUUUAGUGCUGCACUGUGUUUCCUAGAAAAUCAUACUUAAUGAAGCUCACGAUGAUUGUGUGAUUUUAUUUUAUUAUUUUUUAUAUAAUAAAAUGCAACGCAUAACACUUUGUCCUUCACAAUUGGAGUUUGUUGAAAGUGUAUAAUUUAAUAAUAAUAAAAUGCAACACAUAACACCUCUCUCUUACAAUUGGAGUUUGUUGAAAGGUGCAUUGAAACCAAUGUGUAUAGAAUAUUAAGACUAUGUUAGUUAGGAUUAUGAGGAUUAUUUUAAUUAGAUGCAUGAACUAAUGAACCUUUAAGAUGAGAAUAAUUGAUUAAAAUUAUUGCUAGGAUGCAGGUACACACACCAAGCCACCGACUACUUUAGUUUUGGUGAAAUACAGCCAUCAAAUAAGAAGUGAUUAAUAUAAGGGAUUAACUUCUACCGACAAAUUAAUAUUGGAUGGAGUUCUUAUCAGGAGAUGAUUUGUCAUUCUCUUUGGUUAUGGGGUAAUAAAGAGGAGAAUUUUGUUAACUUUUUAAAGCUAUGCUAUGCUAUAAGCUUCUACACGCUAUUCACGGCGUAAUGUUGUGUCUGACACCGACACGUGUACGCUAUUCACACGGCGUAUCGUUGUGUCUGACACCGACACGUAUACGAUACGUAUCAGAUACGUUUUUGAAGUGUUCAAAAAGAAUAUAUUAUUAUGGACACGGAUACGACACCUUAUUUCAAAUAGAUGACACGAUUCAAUUCAGAAAAUUCUAGAAUUUUUUAAAAAUAAAAGUUCAGUUCAAAAAUUUUCAAAAUUUAAAAAAUAAAUAAGUUAUUUAACUUUCAUAUUCCACUUCUUUCCUAUAAAUAAUGGGCCUAUGUAGUAGCUACAUGAUUGAGUUAUGAGAAUUAUUUGAAGGAUUGAUGUCGGUUCUAAACCUGCAAUUCAUGAGAGUAGAAGUUAAUACGGAAUCUUCUAAAAUCGUUAUAGAUAUCAAUCAGGGAAGAUAUAGAAGAAAUAAAGAUUCAAUGAUUCUUAAAAAGAUUGAAAGUCUCUUGAAUAUACAUUUGAUGAAUCCUUUGUGACACACGUAUUUAAUGAAUAUUUUUUUACAUAAAAAUAUUUGUAUUUAAUUUUUUAGUAUAAGUAUUUAUUCUUCAACUAAGGGUAAAAUUGAAAAAAACGAACGAAACAUUGACAAUGUGUGAGAGGCCUAAACAAACACACAUUUCAUUGCAGAAACAAAAUAACUACAUGUGGUUUAUACAUCAUUGUUUGCAGUAACUUAUGAUAAGGACACUGAGUAUGGUGAUUUUUCUGAACCAUCCAACACAAUUUCAAACAAAUCAGCUUCAGAUUCCUCAUCAAAAUCAAAUGCUAGAUUAUUAUUAUUCCCACCGUCCCAUCCGUUGUUAUUUCCUUCGUCGCGGAUCGAUUCUGCCACGGCGAAUCAAUCCUUAUAGUUCCUUACUGUCAUCAAAUCCAAGCGUAGCACCAGGGGAAUGUACAAGUGGUGCUAUAAAACACGGAUUCGGCGUUCUUUGCGCAUUUGCAGGCGCAUAUUUGAAUGCAACUUGCCCAAAAUUAACUAAAAUCAUAAUGUCUAUAUUUGCCGCAAUUGUUGGACAGAGUGGUGUGCUGAAUUCCUCUGAUUGACAGUGAAUUACAUGCACCAGUUCUGAGUCUAAUGUGAAGAAAACUUUCUUUUUUCUUGGAUCAAAUCCACAACCAAUUACUGUGUCCCUUCCUAUCCAUUGCACUUUGUCGGAUUCAAAUACGAGUUUCAUUCCUGUGAUCAAAUUUUACAGUUAGAUGUCUAGAAAGAUACAGAAUUGAAACAAGAUUUGUAGAAGUGUGAAUGAAUAUAAAAAACUAAGACAAUAAAUAUACUACAUUGUAGCUAAUAUGUAACAACGUGUCUGGUGUUCAAAAUGUCUGUUGUUGUUUUAGAUUAGAAUAUUGUCUUUAGUGAGGUUAGGUUAGUUGUUCCUUUUUAAUCACAUCAAGAAAAGGUUCAAACUACCUAAAGUUAGGUUCUAUUACCAUUAUUUUACAUCAUAUUGGCAACUAAAACAUCUAUAACGCUGACACUUUUAAACAAAAACAUAUUUGAUGUUUGACAAUUGUUAGUAUCUGACACCGAUACCGACACAUGUGAUUAUAUUCAAUUUAUUUAUUUUUUUAAAAUUAUUAUCGGUGUCUAACAUUAAGAAAUGCAAUGAGGUGAAAUGGUAAAUAAAAUGAAAGUGCAAAAGCUAAAGGAUAGAUAACUCAUUAUUACCAUCAAGAAAAACAGAACCAUUGGAGUUGAACCCUAUGCUUCUAGGGUAACUUCCUGGAACUCUUAAAGGAACACUUCCACCAUAGCUUAACCCUAAUGACACCAUCACAGAUCCAUCUUUUCCUUCAACUUUCAUUUCUUCAACACUUUUCAAAUCACCUUCAUCAUUCAAACUUUUUUCAAUAAGCAAUUUUGUCUUUUCUCCUUCUCUUCUUCCAACAAUUUCAACAAUCAUUCUCCCACCACAAGAAUUACAAUAUAGUAUCUCAAAAUAAGCUCUUGUGAAAACAUGGUUCUAAACUAGGACCAGGAAGAGGCAAACAAGUCCCUAACAACAGAAUGAACAUUCAUAACAGCAUUGUUUGGAUGAAAAAAAACACUUUUCAAACCGCGAAUUAAGUCUAUCUUCUGGCAAUGAAUUCAUUGUGGAACCUUAGACAGGACCGUUACCCAACUUCAUUUCAACCUCAUUUUUCUUCUCUCCAUACUCACAACCACCCGCCUCCACAAGCUCCCAAAAGGUCGAAGAAGUUGAUUUUUUUGAGCGACAUUAGAAUCACUUUAUAGCUUAGCUGAAAGCAAUCUUGGACCAUCCAUUUCUAACAGCAUCAGAAGCUAGAUAUGGUGACUCGCCAAUCAAACAAAUCUUUCUUCUUUUUCUUUCAUUCCUCUGAUCAAAUUUGAUUGCUUCCUUCAUGAUGGCUCUCUCUUUGUUCAAAACUAUUUGAUUCAAAUGAAGUUCUUUCGAUCUUUCUUGGUGAUGACAUAAUCUUCCAGAUGAAAAUGAGUAAAAUGGUUGAACACACAUCCAGUUAACAAGCUGCACAUAGCAACAAUUGAUAUGCAGCAAUGAGUCAUGAAUUGCAGAUUCUUUUGCUCUUUUUUGCUUCAAUUUGUGACGCAAAUGAAAUGAAGAAAAGUAGUGAGAAUGAAGUUGAGUUUUCAUUUUUUUUUGAGCAGUUCCUUUUGAUUUGUAGAGUUUAUGGGAACCCACAAACAUACAUUACAACCAAUUAAGUUGUUUGCUGUUAUAAGACAUCUUUUUGGGCAUGUUACUGCUCUUAUUAUUAUUUAUUUCCACGUCAGCAUUUCUAUACUCAAAUCCUAAAAUGAAUUUAGAUAAUUUUUUGAUCAGGAACUAGGUUCAUUGUAGGUCGGUUUGGGUAGUGUUUAGCCAAAAUUAAAAUCUAAAUUAUACAAUAUAUUGAUUUGGAAGAAAUAAAAUGAUUAUCCAUAAUAUAUUAUUGGAUCGCUUUGGAUAAAAUCAUAAAUUUGUGAGUUAGAUUGAAUUGGAUAGUGAGUUGUUAGUUGUUUUUUUUUUAUAAUUAUAAAUGAUGUGUUAUAUAUAUAUUUUUUUUAAAAAUACUCAAAUUAUUUUUUUUUCAAAUAAUUUAGCAACUUUUUUUUUGAAAUAACUAAUUUUUUUAAACUAUAUACAAAAAUAAUCAUGUUUUCAAUUUAUUUAUCAAACUAACCAUGUUUGUGAGAGCAUACAUGUAAAAUGUAAGAACAUGCGUCACUGUAUACAGUAAAAUGUAAGAACAAACGUCACUACAAUAGACGCAUGCAUGUAAAAACAUGUCAAAUGUAGGAGCAUGCGUCAUUGCAAUUGACGCAUGCAUGUAAAAUAUAGGAGCACGUGUAAACUGCAAUUGACACAUGCAUGUAAAAAAUAAAUAGUAGUCACAUGCACGCGCCUACAUUUUACAUGUAUGCGGCAAUUGCAAUAACUCAUGAUCAUACAUUUUACAUGCAUGCGCCAAUUACAGUGGCGCAUGCUCUUACAUUUUACAUGAUGUGGCAUAACAAAUGAUCUUACGGUUUAUAUUGAUAAAUACUUUAAUUUUUAUGAUUAUUUUCGUAUUAUAAGUGAUUUUUUAAAAAAAUCUAGUUUUAACUCUAUUAAUAUUAUUCUUUUAAUAAUAUUGUAUAAAAUUUAUAAUAUUUUUUUUUCUAAAAAUAAAAAUUUUAUUACGGGGUAAUAUUUAGAACUAAAAUUUCAUAAAUUGUUCAAAAUUUAUUAGUAUUAGUAACAAAAUAAUCAAAGUAAAAUAUCAUAAAUAAUUCAAAAUCAUCAUUCACAAAAUAAGAACAUAAAAUUAAAGCAACCAAAUAUAAAUACAUCAAAAUUAUCAUUAAUCAAAUUACAAAAAAUAUCAAGAAUAUCAUUCAAAUAUUCUCCACAAUUCAAAAAGAAGUGUUGACAUCAACAUUAAUAUCUUCAACCAAAUUCUAAUGAUAAAAAUAUAAACAUUAAGAUCUAAAAAACAAAAUUAUAUAGCAGUAAUGGUAAAAUUUAUGGGUCAAGUUGGUUAUAGGGAUUGAGACUAAGUUUACCCGAAACCUAAUUAUUUUAAAGGAUUUUUCAUUUUUAAAAAUCAUAUUAACCUAUUUUUCCGUUGAAAUCCAUUUUUUAAAAUCAUUUUGAAUGAUUUUGACCGGAUUCAAUGCUGACUAUAACACUCUUAAGAUUUAGAAUGCUUAAUUGUGAGGAUGUCAAGAUUUUUUAACAUUCUUAUAAUCUUUUUUACGAUGUUUGAAUUUUUAAAAUGUGUUUUAGAAUAAAUAAUAGAUUGAUUUAGAUUAAUAAUCAAAAUCUUUAAUUUUGUAUUAAUAGUAUAUUUGUUUGCACGCAACUAUUUACAACUUCGUAUUUUUAAUGUGUACAUUAAAAGUAUAUUGAGAUGGAGAUAAUUUAUAUAUUGUACACUAAAUUUAUGAAUGGACUCCUAGUAUUCAAUUAUUUGCAAAAAAAACUUUGUCAAUAAUUAAAUCAGUGCAUGCACCAAAUAUCAUGACUCAAUGUUCAAUGUUUUAAUCACCAAUGCUAUUAUAGGUUAGAGAGGGGAAAACACUAAUGCUAGUAGGUUGGUGAGGAAAAAAACAUUUGCCCACAUUAAGAUUUUUUGUCUUUUUUGCUAGAAUUAUGUCGCUUGAGUCCGUCUCAUAUGUCAAAUUCUUUGUGUAAUAGACAUUAAAUAUGACAACUAUUAGUGCAAACUGCCUCUACAUAAAGAAACAGGUGGGGUUCAAACCAAUAAAAUAACCUAACAAAAAAACUAGUAUUCCCUAAUGUGAAUAUGCACCGAUAAAUUUUAUUGAAUUAUUAAUUGGUAAAUAUUAUAGUUGGUUAUAUUGGUUGUGUUUUUAUUAAAAAAAUUGAUAAUAAGUUAUACUAAGUGUAAUCUUAUAAUGUCUUCUAUUUGCUUUUUAUUAUUUGAUUUCAAAAUUCAAUAUUCAAUUCAUAAAUGUGAGAAGGGAGACACAUGAGUUUCAUCUAGUAGAAAAGAGGGUUAGAAAGAAUAUUAAAAAGUGUUACAAACACUUCUAUGUCCAAAAUUAAUUAAUGAUAGAUAAAACUUAGGGCAAUGCUAACUUGGUCCUAGAGAUAUAGGAUAAGAAAUUCACUUGUAGAAAGUUUGUAUUGAAUGAAACAAUUAUAAAAUUAAUUUUAAAUUUUUAUUAAAAUAAAUGCACAAUUUUCAACACAAAAUUACUUUCUUUAGUUCUUAUCUUGUGCCCAUAGGGCAGAAAUUAACAUUGCCCUAAAACUUAAAUCAAACAUGAGAAUUCUUAUAAAAUGCUAAAAAACAUUGUAUAAUUCAUAGAUUUAUAAAUAUUAUUAUUCUAAAAUAAAUAUUAAAAAUUAAAACUAACUAAAGGAGUUUGUAUAAAUAAAAUCAAAGUUUUUUUUUAAAAUGAAAUAAAUAAUUUAAAUAUUAAAUAAAAUGGAAAUUGAUUAAUGGUGAUAGAAGUUGAAAAUAUCAAACUUCAAAAUAAACAUAUAAUAAGUAAGAUUCAUAUAUUUUAAAGAAAAUAUUAAUUAAGAUUUUAAAAAUAUGAAUGAAAUUGAAAUAGAUAUUACAAUGUCAGUUAAUCUAAAACGUUAGCUAUUAUAAAUAUUUUAAUUUUUAUUUUAAUUACAUCUGAAGUAUGAUAAUUGACCGUAUAAAUUUUUUUAUAUUAAAAAUACUUAUUAAUUAAUCUAUAAAAAUAGGUUCUCUUAAAAUUUAUAUAGUUAUCACCAAAACCUUAUAAACCACCAAACUAUUCUACUCAACUUAGUCUCUUCUUAUGUGACAAGCUCGUGAAAGAUUAGAAUCUUAUUUUCAAAACUUUAAUAUUCUUGUCUACUUCAUUUUAAUUUUUAAUUCAAAACGUACAUAAGCCAUAAAGCUAAUCAACCAUAUAAUUAAUGAUCAUUGAGACUGGAUAAUUAAACUACUACUAUGUAUUAACUUAACGAAAAACAUAUGGAUGCAGAUAAGGAAAAGUGGACUUUUAUUUUUAAAAUGUAUGAAUUAUAAAACUAUAGCUUUGCAUUGUUAUUAUAUUUUGUAAGAUGGUGAAGUAUCUUAAUUGCUUGGUCAAUAAGAAAGUCUUCCUUGCUUUUCUUUAAUUCAAGAUAAGUUAAAGAUUGAUACUUUUUCUUCUAAUAGUGUGUUUGGUUUAACGUUGAAUUUUAAAAAAUCACGGUAGCUUUUCACAUUUACACAGAAGCUACCUUUUGGAGCUUCUAGAAAAUCACGGCAGAGUGGCAUUUGAACGUGAGUUUGAUUGGUGAAAAGCUAAACCAAACAUGCUAUAAGUGGACCAAUUGUGAUGAUAUGUGAUAUUGAUAAUUUUAAACUGAAGUCUUCUUAAAAAAUGAUCAUAUUAAUGGUCCCGUAUUAUUUUUUAUAUGUAUAAAAACUUUCUAAAAGAAAAAUGGAUAAAUAUGUUCAUGGUACUUUUAAAGAUUAAAGAUUUUAAUUUUUGUUUGUUUUCAAAGUUUUUUUAAAUAAUCGUCUUUUUAAAAAAAAAUUAUCUAUAAUUUUAAUUGGAUGAUAAUGGGUAGAGUUUAGAUAAUGUAUUAUAAUAUCCGUCCCUACCCGUUAUUUGAAAAAAUUUAUGUACAUGAGUCCAUAUAUACGUAUGCACCAAUCUUUAUAUAUAUACUCGUAUUCUAGGGCUACUUAAGUACCCUUAUUCGUUAUCCGAUGUUCUAAUAAAAAUAAACCUAUCAAUUAAAAAAUAUCAUAUCAUUUUAAACUUUUAACAAUAUUAAAAAAAAAAAAGUCAAAGACUUUAUUGUUGAAUUAUGAAAUAAACAAACAUUUAUAUUAAAUGUGUAAUAGUUUAGCUGUGAUGUAUUUUUUUUAAAGAGAUAGACAUACAAUUUUAUAUAAUAUAAUUUAAAAUAUAUAAAUAUAUGUUGUGAAAUUGAUAAAAUAAUUAAAAUCCUUUCAGAAGAAAUUAUUCAGAGUUCAAUCACACAAAUAAAUUUGAUUUGUGGGACCAAGAACAAUGACAACCGAACAAAUGACCUUCCGCAAUAAUAACAUUUAAUGCAAUGAAAAAAUGAAUUAACUUGGAAGAAAAAGAUAAAAGAAGGCAAGAAACAUAAAAUGUUUCUUUACGCAGUUCGAUCAAAUGAUCUACGUCUGGGAGAGAACAACUCUUCAAUUCACUAUACUCCAAAAAAAAUUAAUAGAGAUUACAAAUGAGUUACAAGAAAAUAGUCUUCCAAGUUUCUAGGAACAAACCCUAUUUUUUACCAAAGUGUUUUUCAAACUCUCUAACUCUCAAUAUAGUAAUCACACAAACCUAAGGUGUUCAAAAUUAUUUUCAAAUCCCCUUAGAUAACUCCAAAGAUUUUCCAAAAUCCUUGCCUUUUUAAGUUUACCGUUGGAAUUCCCUGAACCCUUAUUUAUCUCUUUAGUUCUAAAGCUCUCAAGAUUUCCCCACUUUACAAUAACAGAAGAGUUAUAUAUAUUUAUUAUUCUUACAUUCUUCAAGCAAGUAUCCAACGAUAAAUGAUAUAAACAAAAUCAUUUCAGCAGAAAUACCGUCAGAAGAAGAUGAUAGGGAACUGUAUAAUUUGGUCAAAACACAUAUGAUUCAUGGUCCAUGUGGUUUAGCAAACAGAUCUUCACGUUGCAUGAAAAACGAAAAGUGCUAUAAGUCAUUUCCCAAGAAAUUUCAACCUACAACUGUUGUUGAUCGGGAUGGAUAUCCUAUGUACAGAAGAUGAGAGAAUGACAAUACAAUUAUGAAAAGGCAUGUCACUCUUAAUAACAUAUACGUCGUCCCUUAUAAUCCAUAUUUAUUGAAAACAUUUCAAGCACACAUCAAUAUGGAGUGGUGUAAUCAGAGCAAUUUAGUGAAGUACUUAUUCAAGUACAUUAACAAGAGGUAUGAUCAAAUUACAACUGUUGUUGUCAAAAAUAGUAACGACGAAUCUUUUAUGAUCAGAAAUGUUGACAAAAUAAAAAAAUAUCUUGAUUGUAGGUAUGUCUCACCAAGUGAAGCAUGCUGGAGGCAUUUUUCAUUUCCUAUUCAUGGUAGAUUUCAUGCAGUUGAAAGAUUGUAUUUCCAUCUUGAGGGCGACUAUUAUGUUUACUAUACUAAUUAUGAGAUGAUAAAUGAUGUACUUGAUAAACCAAAUGUGAAGCAAUCAAUAUUUACUUCAUGGAUGGAAGAAAACAAGACAUCCAGAGGCAAAAAAAUUGACUUAUUCUAAAUUUGUCUAUGAAUAAAGACACCGACGUUGGAGACCACGUAAAAGAGGAUAUGCAAUUGAGAGACUAAUUUGAGUUCUUCUAAGUACGUGCAAAUUAUAUUACUUGAGAAUGAUGAUAACAGUCGUCAAGGGACCAAUUUGCUACGAGGAUAUAAAAGACGUCAAUGAGAAGGUUCUUGAUAGUUUCAGGGAUGCAUAUUUUGAAAUAAGAUUUCUUGAAGAUGGCAAUGAAUAUGUUGCAGCUAUAAAUGAAGUAAAGAAUUGAGGUUUCGGUCACUUCUUGAGAAAGUUAUUUGUGACUAUGCACUAUCAAGUAGCAUCAAUAGACCACGUCAUGUUUGGGAAAGAACUUGAAGCACGUUAUCUGACGGUAUUCUCUAUCAACAAAGAAAUAAGACAAGUAAUAGGAGUAAUCGUGUAUUAUUGUAAUUUUGAAAGUAAACUAUUUUAAAUUAUAUGAAGUCAAAUAACAUAGUUUUUGUUACUAUUCAAAUGCACACAAAUUAAUUACAAUAAAUUAUAUGCGUAACUUAUAGAUAUCCAAAUCUAUUCUAACUUAAUUCAAAACAUGCUACUAUAUUUUUUUUAUGUUUAGUUCAAUAUGUUGCUACUGUUUCUGUUGUUAUAAAAAUUUAUUAAGAUCAAAAGCCAUUCAAGUUCAGCCGCAUGUUGGAUAUAACAACUCAUCUGUUACAAACAGUAGGAUAAUGUCGUUGUUUACUGAGUUCCAAAGAAAAUCAUAUAUAUGUAGUGAAUGAUGUUUAAAUGAAGUGCUGAUUCAUUUAUUUUUCGACAGAUUUGCAGUUGUCAGAGGAAGAGAUAAAAAAACUGGACACUUAUUGAAAUUGAGAAUUUGUUGCAAGCAAAUCGAAGAAGUUUGCAUGAAUUUAAAGGCAUGCCUUAUCCAGAUUCAUAUGUCACAAGGCACAUUGGCAAUAGACUGAUUCAUGACGAAUUGGAUUAUAAUGUUGAUACUGAACGACAAAAUUUCUAUCAUUUAUUUCGUGCACUUACAGGUAAUUAAUUUUACUAUCACUAUAAUUUUAUGUCGAACUUAUGUCAUGAAAAUACAUGUUUGAAUUUUUAAUCAUAAAUCUUACAUUACAAUUGAUAGUUGAAUAACGUUUAAUUUUUGAAAAAAAUCAUGGAAGCUGUCAACAAUCAAAGAGGAUGAAUGUUUUUUUUACAUGGUUAUGGAGGGACGGGUAAAACUUUCAUGUGGAGAACUUUGUCAAGUGCAUUGCGUUCGUAGAAAAAAAAUGUUAUUAAUGUUGCUUCAAGUGGGAUAUCUUCGUUAUCAUUUCUAGGUGGAAGGAUAACACAUUCAAAGUUUAAAAUACCCGUGCCAACACUUGACAACUCUACUUGCAACAUUGAGAAAGAAGAUGAACAUUCAUAAUUCUUGGAAGCAAAUAAUUUGAUAAUAUGGGAUGAAACACCUAUGUGUCAUAAAAACUACUUUGAGAUUUUGGAUAAAACCCUUAAAAAUAUCAUGAGAUGUCAUGGUCUUGAGAAUACAAUAUUUGGUGGCAAAAUAGUUAUUUUUGGAGGCGAUUUUAGACAGAUUCUACCUGUUGUUCCGAGAGGAGGUCGUUCUGAUAUUAUCCAUGCUUCAAUUGGAAAUUUUUGAUAACACAUAUCCCAAUCAGUUGGAAAAUUACAAAAAGAAAGAAUUCUUACCAUACAGAGCUAUUAUUGCUUUUACCAUUGAAGUAGUGGAUAAAAUCAAUCUUUAUGUAUUAGACUUGAUUUUAGGUAAAAUGCAUUAACUUACAUUAAUUUAUACAUAUUACAAUACUAUAUAUCAAAUUGUGUUAUUAGUGUUUUAAUUUUUUAAUUUUAUACAAUUUUUUAGGAGAAGAGAAAGAGUAUAUGAGUUCCGAUUCAAUUGAUAGAACAUAAGUCAAUUAUAAUCAAGCUUACGAAGUUCUAACUCCAUAAUUUCUUAGUUCUUUGAGAACAUUAGGUCUACCAAAUUAUAGUAUCAAAUUGAAAGUUGGAACCCCUAUUAUGCUAAUGAGAAAUUUGAAUUAGGCUGAGGGAUUGUGUAAUGGAACAAUAUCAAUUGUGACAAGGUUAACAAAUCACGACGUUGAGGCAAAAAUUAUGUCUGAAGAGAACAUUGGUAACAUAAUUUACAUUCCCUGAAUGACUACGUCACCUUUUGAUUCACCUUGGUCAUUCAAGUUGAUUAAGAGAGAAUUUUCGAUCAUUGUGUCAUAUACACAAUGAUAAUAAAUAAGUCUCAAGGUCAAUCACUUAAUAGUGUGACAUUGUAUUUUCCUAGACCUGUUUUUAGUCAUGGUCAAUUGUAUGUUGCAAUUUCAAGAGUUAGGAGCAAAAGUGGUUUGAAAAUCUUAAUACAUAAUAAAAAAGAAUGCAUCAUAUUCGACUAUUACAAAUAGUUGUUAAACUUUGUUAGUUAGGAUACUUGAUUGGUAUCCGAUGAAUAUCGUUAAAUUGACGGACUUUAUAUACUUUAGGGCUACUUAUUAUAAUUAUAUAGUUUAGGGACUAAAUUGGAGAGAAAGUGAUAGUUUAGAGACUAAAUUGUGAUUUAUCUCCUUCUUAUUAGAAUGAUGCAAAUAAUGAUCCGAUUUCUUCUCCAUCCACUUUAUUUUUCUAGAUGUAUUAAAAUAUUGUCACUUAGCACAUGUUGACAUCGAAGGCGUGUUUAUAUAAGCCUGUUGUUUCAAAGGUUCAAGCUUCAUACAUAAGUUUAUUCCCUUUUAACAGAGACGAGGGAGUCCACUGGGGAAUACAAAAUGGCUUUAUCUUUCUAGAAGCACAGUCGUAUAUUUAAGCACAAUGACAAUGGAUUCUUAAGUAAAACUUUUAGAGAACAUUACUUCCAAAUAUAAGGGGACAAAAAAUUUGAGGCGAUAUAUUGUCGUUGAAGCUCUCUACCAGGUAGAUUCUGUUUUUCAUUUAUGUUUUUUUGUUAGCUUAUACAUAUCUAUACCAUGUUUCCAAUGAACACUUAUAACCUUUAGGUUUAAAAGCAAUCAGCUUUACUAAUUGCUUGCUUCUCUUGCAACUUGCAGUAUCGGUAAAUUGUGCUAUAUGAACUACUAUUUCUGUUAAGAUAGUACAGUAUUGUAACAAAUGAAAUUUUAAUAUGUAUUAUAUCUGGAUUGAAAUAAAACUUUGAGCCUGUUGGUGUCUAUUACAGUUUGUUCCUUAAAAGACUAUUGUUCUACCCUGGUUUUCUCAACCAUUGAGUUGUAAUAGUUAUUUUUUCUGU